rnacentral:rRNA from 1 species
GGUUGCAAUCGUCUUGUUGUUAACUUUGACAAUAUGGAGGUGAUUGAAAUAAUGAAGAAUGAAGGACAUUCGGCAGGAGCUGCGGCAGUGGUGUUCGAUGAUUGCUAUUUUAUAGCUUCUGAUUUUUCUCUUGUUAGGUUUGAACAUUGUAAUAGGGAAUCAAAUAAGGUGGCUAAUGAACUUGCUAGGUUAGCAAAAUUUUUAGUCACUAAGGACUGGUUUGAGGGACCUAUGAAGGACACUGUACACUUACUUAUUGAUGAUUGAACUAUUAUUUCUAAUCAAUAG